rnacentral:lncRNA from 1 species
CCCCGGCCAGAGGGCGCCCGGACCCAAUCCUUCCCCACCCCGAGGCCGCCAGGGCUCCCGGAGUAACCGCACUGGCGAUUGGGUCGGCGGCGCCGCGGGGCCAUGUUGGGGCAAGGAGGCAACCCAGCCUCUCCCCACUCGCCGGCCUCCACGCCGGCUCCGGCUGGGCCGCGAGUGAAAGGGAGCACGAGGGGGAUCCUCCCUCCGCGGUAGCCCCACGCGGUCCAAGCGUCAGCGGUAGCAGCCGCGGCCGCAGCCGCCCUGUGCGCCCUGGCCAAUCAGCGGUGCGGGCACAAAUAUGCAAAUGUGCGCCGGUACUGCUGGAGUGCCGCUCGCAGGGGCUGGUGGGGUCGCGCCGGGGAGUGAACUGGGCCAAUCAGGCGGGUGCGUGGCGGCGCGGGGGAGGCGGUGCCCCUUCACUCCUCCCUCCUCUCCCUCCCGGCCCGCGCUGACAGGGGGGCCUGGCCGAGCCGCCGGUAAGUGCCGCCGCCCGCUGCUGCCACCCGCCGCCCCAGGCGUGGGGAGGAAGCCCAGGGGCGCCGCGGGGUAGCGGCCGCCGCUCAACUGGUGGGGAGAGGCGGGGGCGGGUCUGUCAGCCGGGUGGUCGCCUUAGCCGCCCCCACCCGGCCAGCCGCGCGUGUCAGUCUCGGUCGAGGCGGGGGGCGGCGGGGGCGCCUCAGUCAUGGCGAAGCCCGAGAGCCAGCGGGCGGCGCCUCUUCCCCCGACCGCCUGCUUUCUCGCCCUGGUGACUCAUGACAGGGCGUCCCCGGCAAGCGCUGGGUGCCCGGGAGCACGGGACGCCUCCGGCGCUUUCCCAGGCCUUGCCUCUCCGGUGCAGACCGUCCUGUCUUCCCUCGGAUCCUUCUCUCCGAGGGGCAGCCUCUGGGGCCACUCCACGUCUGCAGCGUGGCCGAGACCCCAGCAGCCCCUGUCCGUCAGCCGCUCCUGUCGCCUUCUUGCUCUCUGGGUGUGGGACGUGAUGGGUGGUUCCUGGGCUCUUCGAGGACAUCCAUCCCAAAGCCAAGCACGACCCGGAAAGCCUGGUGUCUUACUAGCCUGUCGCAGUUGGCAGCGCAGAGUGGUUUCUGUUCGCUUUUUGGUUUUGCUUUGCUUUGUGGUUUUCGUUUGUUUUUGUUUUGCUAUUUAAGAAAAAUAAAAACUUUUCAGAACAAAGUAGACGAUUUUUUUUUUGAAGUUGUGAUAUUAACAGUUCUACACAAAUGCUCUCUUGGAAGACUGGAAUUUGACACUGUUGUGACUUUAUCCAUUUAUGUGAAAUAUUCUUACCAACAAAAAAUUCCCCCUUAUUAAAUAAAGUUUAUCUUCAUUAAUAAAACCAUUGUCUAUCAC